rnacentral:rRNA from 1 species
GAUGAACGCUGGCGGCGUGCCUAAUACAUGCAAGUCGAGCGAACGGACGAGAAGCUUGCUUCUCUGAUGUUAGCGGCGGACGGGUGAGUAACACGUGGAUAACCUACCUAUAAGACUGGGAUAACUUCGGGAAACCGGAGCUAAUACCGGAUGGUAUUUUGAACCGCAUGGUUCAAAAGUGAAAGACGGUCUUGCUGUCACUUAUAGAUGGAUCCGCGCUGCAUUAGCUAGUUGGUAAGGUAACGGCUUACCAAGGCAACGAUGCAUAGCCGACCUGAGAGGGUGAUCGGCCACACUGGAACUGAGACACGGUCCAGACUCCUACGGGAGGCAGCAGUAGGGAAUCUUCCGCAAUGGGCGAAAGCCUGACGGAGCAACGCCGCGUGAGUGAUGAAGGUCUUCGGAUCGUAAAACUCUGUUAUUAGGGAAGAACAUAUGUGUAAGUAGCUGUGCACAUCUUGACGGUACCUAAUCAGAAAGCCACGGCUAACUACGUG